AUUGAACGCUGGCGGCAUGCCUUACACAUGCAAGUCGAACGGCAGCACGGACUUCGGUCUGGUGGCGAGUGGCGAACGGGUGAGUAAUAUAUCGGAACAUACCCUAGAGUGGGGGAUAACGUAGCGAAAGUUACGCUAAUACCGCAUACGAUCUAAGGAUGAAAGCGGGGGAUCGCAAGACCUCGUGCUCAUGGAGUGGCCGAUAUCUGAUUAGCUAGUUGGUGAGGUAAAGGCUCACCAAGGCGACGAUCAGUAGCUGGUUUGAGAGAACGACCGGCCACACUGGAACUGAGACACGGUCCAGACUCCUACGGGAGGCAGCAGUGGGGAAUUUUGGACAAUGGGCGCAAGCCUGAUCCAGCAAUGCCGCGUGAGUGAAGAAGGCCUUCGGGUUGUAAAGCUCUUUUGUCAGGGAAGAAACGGUGAGUCCUAAUACGGCUUGCUAAUGACGGUACCUGAAGAAUAAGCACCGGCUAACUACGUGCCAGCCGCCGCCGUAAUAC
rnacentral:rRNA from 1 species